rnacentral:rRNA from 1 species
CCCUUAGAUGUUCUGGGCUGCACGCGUGCUACAAUGGCGCUUGCAACAAGUCUUGCCAACCCGAUAGGGUGAGCGGAUCUUUGAAGAGGCGUCAUGAUCGGGACAGUUGAUUGCAAUUAUUCGACUCGAACGAGGAAUUCCUUGUAAUCGCGAUUCAUCAUAUCGCGCUGAAUACGUCCCUGCCCUUUGUACACACCGCCCGUCGCUCCUACCGAUUGAGCGAUCCGGUGAAUGUUUUGGACUGGCGUCAGAAGCGGUUCGCUCCUGACACUACGAAAUUUUGUAAACCUUAUCGCUUAGAGGAAGGAAAAGUCGUAACA